rnacentral:rRNA from 1 species
UACGAAGGUGGCAAGCGUUGUUCGGAUUUACUGGGCGUACAGGGAGCGUAGGCGGUUGGAUAAGCCCUCCGUGAAAUCUCCAGGCUUAACCUGGAAAGUGCAGAGGGGACUGUUCAGCUAGAGGAUGGGAGAGGAGCGCGGAAUUCCCGGUGUAGCGGUGAAAUGCGUAGAGAUCGGGAGGAAGGCCGGUGGCGAAGGCGGCGCUCUGGACCGGAACUGACGCUGAGGCGCGAAAGCGUGGGGAGCAAACAGG